CUUGGAUAACUGUGGUAAUUCUAGAGCUAAUACAUGCAUUCAAGCCCCGACUUCUGGAAGGGGUGUAUUUAUUAGAUUAAAAUCAACUUUGUUGGUGAAUCAUAAUAACUUCUCGGACCGCAUGGCCUCGUGCUGGCGGUGCUUCAUUCAAAUGUCUGCCUUAUCAAC
rnacentral:rRNA from 1 species